UCUAUCCUUAAUUUAGACUUCAGAGUGUUGGAGUUUAUAAUAAAUGCUUUUAAAGGAAACUCAAGAGUUGCUUCAAAAGAGAAUGUGAAGAGUCCCACAUUGAUAGAAUAAUAGGAAGUGUAAGGGGUUUAUAUACAUUACAUUUUCUAUACCCAUUGAGUUGUGUGACAAAAGGACUUUUAGUGGGCAUGUGGUGCAUGUGGUGAGUGGAGUCACCACACGCACCCGCCCGGUCUGGGCCUUGGGCCUUGGGCCUUGGGCCUUGGGCCUUGGGCCUUGGGCCGUGAUUUCAAUUUGUUUUUCCAUCUAUACUGGAAACGCAGAGACCGUGUAUCCCUGGAGGUUGAUUGCUGUGAGGCCGUGUGUUGUAGCGGGGCAAAUUCAACUUUAGGGCAGUGAAUUCUUCACGCCACGGUUUUCCAGAUAAGUUAAAUUUAUGUUCUUAGCGGUUUUAGUUCCUACACAGAGUGCUCAAAGCAAGCCUACACUAUGUAUAGAUUAGCAUGGGUAACAUCAUAGGAUUUUGGUCCUAUUAUGUUGUCCUUCGGAUCGAAGUAAUGAUUAACAGGGACAGUGUGGGACAUUUGUACUUCAUAGUUACACGUGAAAUUCUUGGAUUUAUGAAAGACGUAUAACCGUGAAAGCAUUUGCCAAGGAUGUUUCAUUAAUCAAGAAUGAAAGUUGGAGGCUAAAAAACGAUCCGAUACUGCCCUAGUCUCAACCAUAAAUGAUGCCAACUAGGGAUCGACAUAUGUUACUUUUUAGGACGCCGCCGACACCUUAUGAGAAAUCAAAGUUUUUGGGUUUCGGGGACUAUGGUUGGAAGGCUAAAACUUAGAGGAAUUGACCGAGUGGCACCAGCAAGAGUGGAGCCUGCGGCUUAAAUUGUAAGAUUGACAGACUAAGAGCUCUUUCUUGAUUCUAUUGGUGGCGGUGCAUGGCUGUUCUUAGUUGGUGGAUAGAUUUGUCUAGUGAAUUCGUUAACGAACGAGACCUUAGCCUACUAACUAGUUAUGAGGAGGUAGUCCUUCGCAGCUAGCUUCUUAGAGGGACUAUGGCCUGUUAGGCCAUGAAAGUUUGAGGCAAUAACAGGUAUAUAAUACCCUUAGGUGUUCUAGCAGGAGCUAUAAUAAUGUAUUCAACGAGUGUAUAGCCUUGACCAACAGGUCCGGGUAAUCUUUGAAAUUUCAUCGUGAUGGGGAUAAAUCAUUGCAAUUGUUGGUCUUCACCAAGAAAUUCCUAAUAAGCACCAGUCAUCAUCUUGCGUUAACAUACCUGCCCUUUGUACACGCCUUCCGUCGGAAACAAAU
rfam:Beta vulgaris subsp. vulgaris Bvchr3.sca010.con0028.1, whole genome shotgun sequence.